rnacentral:rRNA from 1 species
GACAGAGGCCCCGAGCGUUAGGCGGAAUCACUGGGCUUAAAGCGUGUGUAGGCGGACCCCUAAGUGUCUUGUGAAAUCCCACGGCUCACCCGUGGAACCGCUGGGCAUACUGGGGGGUCUUGGGCCGUUCAGGGGCGACUGGAACAAGCGGUGGAGCGGUGAAAUGCGUAGAUAUCGCUUGGAACGCCGAAGGGUGAAAACAGGGUCGCUGGGGACGC